CGUUUUCUGCGGUAUGUCUUGA
rnacentral:rRNA from 1 species